rnacentral:rRNA from 1 species
GAUGAACGCUGGCGGCGUGCUUAACACAUGCAAGUCGAACGGACUCAUAUUGAAACCUAGUGAUGUAUGAGUUAGUGGCGGACGGGUGAGUAACGCGUGGAGAACCUGCCGUAUACUGGGGGAUAACACUUAGAAAUAGGUGCUAAUACCGCAUAAGCGCACAGCUUCGCAUGAAGCGGUGUGGAAAACAAAAAGCUAAAGCUUUUGGUGGUAUACGAUGGAUCCGCGUCUGAUUAGCUUGUUGGCGGGGUAAAGGCCCACCAAGGCGACGAUCAGUAGCCGGCCUGAGAGGGUGAACGGCCACAUUGGGACUGAGACACGGCCCAAACUCCUACGGGAGGCAGCAGUGGGGAAUAUUGCACAAUGGGGGAAACCCUGAUGCAGCGACGCCGCGUGAGUGAAGAAGUAUUUCGGUAUGUAAAGCUCUAUCAGCAGGGAAGAAAAUGACGGU